rnacentral:rRNA from 1 species
GAUGAACGCUGGCGGCGUGCCUAAUACAUGCAAGUCGAACGAGGUGCUUUUGUAGCAAUACGAGAGUAUCCUAGUGGCGAACGGGUGAGUAACGCGUUGGUGACCUACCCCAAAGUGUGGGAUAACAGUCCGAAAGGAUUGCUAAUACCGCAUGUGGUCUUCGGAUUUAGAAACUGAUGACUAAAGGAGCAAUUCGCUUUGGGAGGGACCUGCGUCCCAUCAGCUAGUUGGUGAGGUAAUGGCUCACCAAGGCUACGACGGGUAGGGGACCUGAGAGGGUGACCCCCCACAAUGGAACUGAAACACGGUCCAUACACCUACGGGUGGCAGCAGUAGGGAAUAUUGCACAAUGGGCGAAAGACCUGAUGCAGCAAACGCCGCGUGUGCGAUGAAGGCCUCGGUCG